GACGAACGCUGGCGGCGUGCUUAACACAUGCAAGUCGAACGGGCCCGCUCUCUUUUUUGGGGGUGGGUUGCGUGGCGAACGGGUGAGUAUCACGUGAGUAACCUGCCCCCUGCUCCUGGAUAACUGCUUGAAAGGGCGGCUAAUACGGGGUGUGCCGGCUGGUCCGCAUGGGCCUGGUCGGGAUAGUUUCAUCUUCGGGUGUUUCGGUGGGGGAUGGGCUCGCGGCCUAUCAGCUUGUUGGUGGGGUGAUGGCCCACCAAGGCGGUGACGGGUAGCCGGCCUGAGAGGGUGGGCGGCCACACUGGGACUGAGACACGGCCCAGACUCCUGCGGGAGGCAGCAGUGGGGGGUAUUGCACAAUGGGCGGAAGCCUGAUGCAGCGACGUCGCGUGAGGGAUGGAGGCCUUCGGGUUGUGAACCUCUUUCUCCGGUGGUGAAGGCCCUGUCCGUUGCGGCGGGGUUGACGGUAGCCGGGUAUGAAGCGCCGGCUAACUACGUG
rnacentral:rRNA from 1 species